AGAGUUUGAUCCUGGCUCAGGAUAAACGCUAGCGGCGCGCCUAAUGCAUGCAAGUCGAGCGAUGAUCCUUCGGGGUCAUAGCGGCAGACGGGUGAGUAACACGUGGGUGACCUGCCCCAAAGCCGGUGGAUAACGACUGGAAACGGUUGCUAAUACCCGAUGUGCUCGGUAAUUCGUUUUACCGAGUAAAGUUCCGGCGCUUUGGGAGGGGCCCGCGGCCCAUCAGCUAGUUGGUGAGGUAAUGGCCCACCAAGGCAUUGACGGGUAGGGGGCGUGAGAGCGCGGCCCCCCACACUGGCACUGAGACACGGGCCAGACUCCUACGGGAGGCAGCAGCAGGGAAUUUUGCGCAAUGGGCGAAAGCCUGACGCAGCGACGCCGCGUGGGCGAUGAAGGCCUUCGGGUUGUAAAGCCCUUUUCUGGGGGAAGAGAGAGGACGGUACCUCAGGAAUAAGCGUCGGCUAACUACGUGCCAGCAGCCGCGGUAAUGCGUGGGGCGCGUGCGUUUUCCGGCUUCUCUGGGCGUAGCGCGCCUGCGGGCGGUUUCGUGUGUUGGGUGUGUUCGCCCCGGGCUUGGCCUGGGGGGGCCUUUCUGUCCUGCGGCGCUUGUGGGCGGGGGGGGGCCGCGGUUUUCCCGGUGUCGCGGUGUUGUGCGCUGAUAUCGGGGGGCUCCCCGGUGGCGGGGGCGGCUUCCUGGCCCGUUCCUGGCGCUCGGGGGCGGCGGCUACCCGAGAAAACCCUUUUUCCCCCUCUUUUCUACCUCCCCGAGCCCUCUUAUGGGUUGUGGGUGUGGGGGUGAAUAGCCUCUGUGCCGAAGCUAACGCGUUAAGCAUCCCGCCUGGGGACUACGGCCGCAAGGUUAAAACUCAAACGAAUUGACGGGGCCCCGCACAAGCAGCGGAGCGUGUGGUUUAAUUCGAUGUUACACGAAGAACCUUACCUAGGUUUGACAUGCACGUGGUAGGGAUCCGAAAGGUGACCGACCCUUCGGGGAGCGCGCAAAGGUGCUGCAUGGCUGUCGUCAGCUCGUGCCGUGAGGUGUCGGGUUAAGUCCCGUAACGAGCGCAACCCUUACCCUUAGUUGCAUGUUUCUUUGGGGGCUGCCNGCGNCGNGCUGGNGGGGGGCGGGGGUGGCGUCNNGUCNGCCUGGCCCUUAUGACGAGGGAUACACACACGAUGCAGUGGCCGGUACAAUGGGCAGCCAAUCCGUGAGGAGGAGCGAAUCCCAUCAAAGCCGGUCUCAGUUCGGAUUGCAGGCUGCAACCCGCCUGCAUGAAGCCGGAGUUGCUAGUAACCGCGCGUCAGCUAUAGUGCGGUGAAUAAGUUCCCGGGGCUUGCACACACCGCCCGUCAAG
rnacentral:rRNA from 1 species